GGAUCAGGAAUCGCUGCGCGUCGCUGAGCUUCAACAGAGCAGGAAACAGCUUCCCUCGGUACUGCCUAAGCCAGGACCGUCUUACUAGUCAGCCGACCCCAGCACGGCAGCGAAGAACCGCGCUACGAAGUACAACUACAAGGCAGGAUACAAUUAUGCGCAGCCAAAGACACUCUACAACUACGACAUAAAUGAAGACAUCUGGGGCCUCAGUGAUAACGUUCCAGUCUAUACUGGUGAGAGCUACGGACCUAACGUCGGCUACAACACAGGCGCCACCUAUGGUGGUUAUGGAUACCAGCAGCAGCAGCAGCAACCGCAGCAACCACAACGGCGCUGUGUGUGCUAUUAGGAACAUUAGAUUGCGAUCAGCAAACCAAUGUUGAUUGAGUUUUACUGAAAUGUUAUAUUUGUGUGGCACCGUACCGAUAUUAUUGUGAUGACGAGUAUGUAUAAUAUUCAUUUGUAUAUAAUACGAUGGCCUUAAUAAUGACACAGUUGCUUACCACAAUUUCCCAUAUGUAAUCGUGUAUUGUGUAUGUUGGAUAAUCACGAUAAUAAAUUUUGUAAUAUAAUCUUAAUUUUGCAUAUCUGCA